GCAUCCACAUGGCCUCAGGUGUUCGCGCAGCUGCUCCGCCAGCCCCAGCCGGCCCCUCCCGGGCCCGCUCCAAGCCCGGCCCUCCACCACGGGUGCCUCGCCCCCAGCCCGCGGCCAAGAGGCCAGCAACGCCGGUCUCCGCGGGGCUGCCAAGAGCGUGGACCCCUCAGCACCUCAGGCCGCAACGACCAGCCUCCCCUGUGAAAGGAUCAUUCACUACCAAAGCUGUCCCAACGCCUAGGUUGGAACUGCUGCCUUAGAUGGUGGUACCUACGGUGUGCCCACCCCUCUGCUAUGCAAAGUGAAGCUAAUAAGGAGAGGGUGAGGUUGGACUAUUUAUACCCUGCUUUUGGCACACUCAGAGACCUCUCCACUUUGGACCUCACAGAUGCAAGAGGAAGGAGAAGGGUUUGAAUUAUGUGUCCCUAAAACUACUGAUUCUACACUAAGCCUGCAUCCAGCCUAGAUGUUGGGGAGUCUGUGGCUUCCCCUCAUAAAGCAACCCAACUUGAGAGGAAACUGGAAUCCAAAACAUGCUUUGGGUGUAAGGUCUCACUUUGCCUCGGGGACAAGAAGGAUACCAGAGAGCUCACGAGGAACAGGAUGCAGAGAAACACUGGGUCCAGUCCCUGCCUCCUUCCCUACGCUCUCAAGGACAACUGCCAAGCACAUGUGUGAUGCCUUGGGAACAGAAAGCAGCAGGAAUCAUGGAUUCUCCAACUCACCACCAGUCCUUGACUCCAGCCUCUCUUUUGUGAGCCACUCAUCCCUACCGCCAAUUCACUGCAGUCCCAUGAGUACUUCUGCCUGGCUAAACAGUGUGCAGUGGCUUCCAAAGUCCCACUCUCCUGGACACAAAGCCCUCUCUUGGCUUAACUCGAAGUGCCAACCUCCACUCCCUUGUUUCAUUGUCUCUGCCAAACCAAACAAGUUGUGUCCCUGGCCUAGCCUAUUCCCAGAGGCAGAGGAGCCUGCCUCCACAGAGACUAAGGUAUUUCUACCUUGCUUUUUCAGGUCCAACUCAAAUGCUGCCUCCUUAAUAACCAUUCAUUCAUUCAUUCACUCAACACUGGCUGAGUCUUUAUCAUAUUCCAAGCAUUGAAUAAAGGGUCCUUGUUGUCAUGA
rnacentral:lncRNA from 1 species